rnacentral:rRNA from 1 species
GACGAACCGUGCGAACGUUGUUCGGAAUCACUGGGCUUAAAGGGCGCGUAGGCGGCUUAUCAAGUCAGGGGUGAAAUCCUCCAGCUUAACUGGAGAAGUGCCUUUGAUACUGAUGGGCUAGAGGGAGGUAGGGGCAUGUGGAACUUCUGGUGGAGCGGUGAAAUGCGUUGAUAUCAGAAGGAACGCCGGUGGCGAAAGCGACGUGCUGGACCUCUUCUGACGCUGAGGCGCGAAAGCUAGGGGAGCAAACGGG